AGAGUUUGAUCCUGGCUCAGGAUGAACGCUAGCGGCAGGCCUAACACAUGCAAGUCGAGGGGCAGCACGGUGUAGCAAUACACUGGUGGCGACCGGCGCACGGGUGCGUAACGCGUAUGCAACCUACCCAUAACAGGGGGAUAACACUGAGAAAUUGGUACUAAUACCCCAUAACAUUAGGACCGGCAUCGGUUCUGGUUGAAAACUCCGGUGGUUAUGGAUGGGCAUGCGUUGUAUUAGCUGGUUGGUGAGGUAACGGCUCACCAAGGCAACGAUACAUAGGGGGACUGAGAGGUUAACCCCCCACAUUGGUACUGAGACACGGACCAAACUCCUACGGGAGGCAGCAGUGAGGAAUAUUGGUCAAUGGACGCAAGUCUGAACCAGCCAUGCCGCGUGCAGGAUGACGGCUCUAUGAGUUGUAAACUGCUUUUGUACGAGGGUAAACGCAGAUACGUGUAUCUGUCUGAAAGUAUCGUACGAAUAAGGAUCGGCUAACUCCGUGCCAGCAGCCGCGGUAAUACGGAGGAUUCAAGCGUUAUCCGGAUUUAUUGGGUUUAAAGGGUGCGUAGGCGGUUUGAUAAGUUAGAGGUGAAAUUUCGGGGCUCAACCCUGAACGUGCCUCUAAUACUGUUGAGCUAGAGAGUAGUUGCGGUAGGCGGAAUGUAUGGUGUAGCGGUGAAAUGCUUAGAGAUCAUACAGAACACCGAUUGCGAAGGCAGCUUACCAAACUAUAUCUGACGUUGAGGCACGAAAGCGUGGGGAGCAAACAGGAUUAGAUACCCUGGUAGUCCACGCAGUAAACGAUGAUAACUCGUUGUCGGCGAUACACAGUCGGUGACUAAGCGAAAGCGAUAAGUUAUCCACCUGGGGAGUACGUUCGCAAGAAUGAAACUCAAAGGAAUUGACGGGGGCCCGCACAAGCGGAGGAACAUGUG
rnacentral:rRNA from 1 species